GCCUGUGCCUGGUAAAUCAGGCAACUUUAUGGCUCAUGGUGGAAACUUUGGAGGUGAUGGUGGCAGCUAUGGUGCCAGUCCUGGUUACAGUAGUAGAGGAGGCUGUAGUGAUCCUGGUUAAAGUGAUAGAGGAAGGUAUGGUGCCAGUCCUGGUUACAGUAGUAGAGGGGGCUGUGGUACUGGUUACAGUAGUAGAGAGGGCUGUGGUCCUGGUUGCAGUAGUAGAGAGGGCUGUGGUCCUGGUUGCAGUAGUAGA
rnacentral:lncRNA from 1 species